UCCGUAGGUGAACCUGCGGAAGGAUCAUUAAUGAGUUUGCGCGGUUGCUGCUGGUUCUUACAAGUGCACGCCGUGUCUUUCUUAUCCACCCCACUGUGCAUCUCGGUACGCCUCUGCGCGUAGUCCUUUUACACACAACCUAUUGUAAUGAGUUAGAACGUGCUUGUUGGAAACAAUAAUACAACUAUCAACAACGGAUCUCUUGGCAUCCCACUCGAUGAAGAACGCAGCGAAUUGCGAUAAGUAAUGUGAAUUGCAGAAUUCAGUGAAUCAUCGAAUCUUUGAACGCACCUUGCACCCUCUGGUAUUCCGGAGGGUAUGCCCGGUUGAGUAUUAUGAUCAACUCAAGCCUCUGGUUUUCUAAUUGUAAAGGUCGGAUGCUCGGCGAAGCCGUCCAGCGGGACGGUGGUAGCUGAAGUCUGACUUGGAAAUCCGGAUUGGCAUUGGACUUGAACGUUUGUCGGUCUGCUUUGAAAGAUCGGCUCGUUUGAAAUGCAUUAGCUGGCAACCCGCCUUACGGUUCCACUCGACGUAGUAAGGCUCUUAUUCGGUUGGAGGGACAUCUCUGGUAAUGGGAGGGGUGGGGGCCGGUUGGUUGGGGCGGCUUGGGGGUAUUACAAGGCCGCUUCUAAUCGUCUUAGGACAACGAUUUUGAACGUUUAAUCUCAACUCGGG
rnacentral:rRNA from 1 species